UGGGGAAUAUUGCACAAUGGGCGCAAGCCUGAUGCAGCCAUGCCGCGUGUGUGAAGAAGGGCCUUCGGGUUGUAAAGCACUUUCAGCGAGGAGGAAGGUGGUGAACUUAAUACGUUCAUCAAUUGACGUUACUCGCAGAAGAAGCACCGGCUAACUCCGUGCCAGCAGCCGCGGUAAUACGGAGGGUGCAAGCGUUAAUCGGAAUUACUGGGCGUAAAGCGCACGCAGGCGGUUUGUUAAGUCAGAUGUGAAAUCCCCGGGCUCAACCUGGGAACUGCAUUUGAAACUGGCAAGCUAGAGUCUCGUAGAGGGGGGUAGAAUUCCAGGUGUAGCGGUGAAAUGCGUAGAGAUCUGGAGGAAUACCGGUGGCGAAGGCGGCCCCCUGGACGAAGACUGACGCUCAGGCUGCGAAAGCGUGGGGAGCAAACAGGAUUAGAUACCCCUGGUAGUCCACGCUGUAAACGAUGUCGAUUUGGAGGUUGUGCCCUUGAGGCGUGGCUUCCGGAGCUAACGCGUUAAAUCGACCGCCUGGGGAGUACGGCCGCAAGGUU
rnacentral:rRNA from 1 species